CCUACGGGAGGCUGCAGUGGGGAAUAUUGGACAAUGGGCGAAAGCCUGAUCCAGCCAUGCCGCGUGUGUGAAGAAGGCCUUCGGGUUGUAAAGCACUUUCAGUGGGGAAGAAAGCCUUGGGGCUAAUACCCUCGAGGAAGGACAUCACCCACAGAAGAAGCACCGGCUAACUCCGUGCCAGCAGCCGCGGUAAUACGGAGGGUGCGAGCGUUAAUCGGAAUUACUGGGCGUAAGGCGCGCGUAGGCGGUCUGAUAAGCCGGUUGUGAAAGCCCCGGGCUCAACCUGGGAACGGCAUCCGGAACUGUCAGGCUAGAGUGCAGGAGAGGAAGGUAGAAUUCCCGGUGUAGCGGUGAAAUGCGUAGAGAUCGGGAGGAAUACCAGUGGCGAAGGCGGCCUUCUGGACUGACACUGACGCUGAGGUGCGAAAGCGUGGGUAGCAAACAGGAUUAGAUACCCCAGUAGUC
rnacentral:rRNA from 1 species